UAGUCGUUAUAAUCGUUGUGGUUACUAGCGGCCCAGGAGGGCCCCGCCGCGCCCUUGCGCCCGAGCGCUCGUAUCCGCCGCGAACGCCGCCUUCCCAGUGCUCUUCUCGCGCGCUCCAGCGCGGUACAGACCGGGUUUCACCAUGUUGACCAGGAUGAUCUCGAUGUCUUGACCUCGUGAUCCACCCGCCUUGGCCUCCCAAAGUGCUGGGAUUACAGGCUUGAGCCACCGCGCCCGGCCUCAUCAAGCCCUUCUUAGGAUCCAGGUGCUCCAGCGGCUCCCUAAAGGCCCGGAGUCAUCCGAGCCUGCUCAUAGCCUUGGACCUCCUGGACAUGCCCUUCCCCACGGUGGGUUUUCAAAACAGAUGCAUUGGCAAUUGGGGGUCUACGCAAUUACCGCCCAGGGCUCCCUGAGCUGAUCCCAGCGCCAGCAGGGACUCCCAGGCAUGUGUGCCAAUGGCUGCAGCGCCCCUCUUGUCCCGAACACUGUCCAGGGCACACCCACACCAUCUUCCUCCUUUCCCGUUUCUCUUUACCCACUUCUAAGCCUCCCUGGAGUUUGGCUUUUCCCAGUGCUUGCCACGGGGUCCAGCAUGCCCACAGUUGCUCAGUAUGUGUGGGCAGAAUUUAAUCGUGUCGAAAUGCCCAGUUAUCUCUGCCUCUGGAGCCCCCACCCGGCACAGCUCCGUCCUGCGUUUUCCUCCCUCUACUAAACUGUAUCGGGCUAUAAAAAAUUUCAGAGGAGUCAGAAUUUUUUUUUUUUUUGACGGAGUUUCGCUCUUGUUACCCAGGCUGGAGUGCAAUGGCGCGAUCUCGGCUCACCGCAACCUCCGCCUCCUGGGUUCAGGCAAUUCUCCUGCCUCAGCCUCCUGAGUAGGUGGGAUUACAGGCAGGCGCCACCAUGCCCAGCUAAUUUUUGUAUUUUUAUUAGAGACAGGGUUUCACCUUGUUUGACCAGGAUGGUCUCGAUCUCUUGACCUCGUGAUCCACCCGCCUCAGCCUCCCAAAGUGCUGGGGUCAGAAUUUAAAGAGAGUAUUCAAGCGCAACAUUUAAGGGCAGCUGCCUGGAAAUGCGGACUCCAGAAAAUGGGGUCAGUUCUCUGAGGUGUGGGGAAGUAGGGGUUGUCUAUACAGGCAAAAUCAGAGGGAACAGCAUUACAGCAGUCUCCAUGCAAGGCUGGCAUAUAGUUUAUAGAGAUUCGGUUGGUUACCGUUAGCUAUUCUAAAGGAUUGCUUGAGAUUCCGCUGUAGAGAGAUGACAGUCACAGGGUGUGAUGGUUAAUACUGAGUGUCAACUUGAUGGGGUUGAAGGAUGCGAAGUAUGAUCCCGGGUGUGUCUGUGAGGCUGCCGCCAAGGGAGAUGGACGUUUGGGUCCGGGCUGGGGAAGGAUGAAGAUUAAGACCCACCCUUAAGGUGGUGGGGACCAUCUAAUCAGCUGCCAGUGAAUGUGAAAAGGCGAGACUGGCCCAGCCUCUCAGCCCACAUCUUUCUUCCCUGCUGGAUGCUUCCUGCCUUCAAUGAUCAGACUCCCAGUUCUUCAGUUUUGAGGCUCGGACCGGCUCUCCUUGUUGCUCAAGCUUGCAGACAGCCUAUUGUGGGACCUUGUGAUCAUGCUGAUGUUUAGCUGCCACUAAUGAAGGCCGCAUGUCUACUGUGUCCGCAACAGGCACCAUGGCCAGCCGGCAGGUGUGCACUCAACUCAACAGUGGCUGGAGAGCCUUCAUGGGGGGCUGGCCCCCAGGGUCAUCUGGACACCUGCUUUGGGCACAGGCUUCCUCAAGGCACUCAGGAUAGCGGCCCUGAGGUACCUUGAGCUGCUCUGAGAAUUCCUUAGGUGGAUAUUGAGUGCCGUUUAGCCUCAAUACUGAGAAGCAAGUCCAGGCACAGUGGUUCACAACUAUAAUCCCAGCACUUUGGGAGGCUGAGGCUGGUGGAUUGCUUGAGCCCAGGAGUUCCAGACCAACCUGAACAAUGGUGGUAAAAACCUGUCUCUACAAAAGAGUACAAAAAUCAGCUGGGUGUGGUGGUGCACGCCUGUAGUCCCAACUACUCAGGAGGCUGAGGUGGGAGGAUCACUUGAGCCCAGGAGGUUGAGGCUACAGUGAGCCAUGACUGCGCCACUGCACUCCAGUCUCGACAACACAGGGAGACCCUGUCUCAACAUAACAAAACAAAGCCAAGAAGCAAGAGGACCUCAGAGGCAGUAGAACUGCACUGUGUUGAGUUGGUGAGGUCAAUGCCCAGAGGCAGUAGAACUGCACUGUGUUGAGUUGGUGAGGUCAAUGCCCCAUAUUUCCGGGUCUUGGUUGUUGAGAGGUAGUUGCUAAUUACCAAGGGUCCCAUGGUCUUGGAUGGGCACGUUCAGCUCUUGGCACACGGUCAUGUGCUGGAAGUAGCCUCUGGUCUGGGUAAACACCACCCUGUUUUGUGGGGAGCCGUGCCCAGAACUCACCU